rnacentral:lncRNA from 1 species
UCCCUUGAUUAGUACUUGAUGUCUAAAGAUUAGAUUUUUUAUAGUUAAGCUCGUGGAAAGAUUAUGUUGUGACAAGGGAAUCUUUAUAAGAUCUAUGAUGGUUUGUGCAAUAUGAGUAUGUAGUGGUUGGUUCAGCUUCACUUCUGGUUGUAGCCGGUAUCGAUUCGAAAUAUUUCUUGGUUAUGUGAGAAAAAAUUUG